UGGGGAAUCUUGCGCAAUGGGCGAAAGCCUGACGCAGCCAUGCCGCGUGAAUGAUGAAGGUCUUAGGAUUGUAAAAUUCUUUCACCGGGGACGAUAAUGACGGUACCCGGAGAAGAAGCCCCGGCUAACUUCGUGCCAGCAGCCGCGGUAAUACGAAGGGGGCUAGCGUUGCUCGGAAUUACUGGGCGUAAAGGGCGCGUAGGCGGAUCGUUAAGUCAGAGGUGAAAUCCCAGGGCUCAACCCUGGAACUGCCUUUGAUACUGGCGAUCUUGAGUAUGGGAGAGGUAUGGGGAACUCCGAGUGUAGAGGUGAAAUUCGUAGAUAUUCGGAAGAACACCAGUGGCGAAGGAGACAUACUGGCGCAUUACUGACGCUGAGGCGCGAAAGCGUGGGGAGCAAACAGG
rnacentral:rRNA from 1 species